rnacentral:sRNA from 1 species
GCGGAGCUCGCCGCCUGAUCUAGGCUGGUCCCUGCUCCGAGCCUGUGACGUUUGCGGCAGCCCGGCCAUCGACGAUGCCCAGGAAAGACUACUAUUAUUCUAAGGUGUCUUGACAGAGAUGAGCCACCAAAACCAACCUUAGCUUUGGAAUAUACAUAUGGAAGAAGAGCAAAAGGGCACAACACACCAAAAGAUAUCGCUCACUUUUGGGAACUUGGUGGAGGAACCUCUUUAUUGGACUUAAUCAGCAUACCCAUCAUAAGUGACACCUUACGGACGUUUUCUCUUGUUCUCGUUCUGGAUCUUUCAAAACCUAAUGAUCUUUGGCCCACCAUGGAAAAUCUCUUGCAAGCCACAAAAAGCCAUGUAGACAAAGUGUUAAUGAAACUGGGAAAGACAAAUCCUAAAGCAGUUUCUGAAAUGAGACAGAAGAUCUGGAAUAAUAUGCAGAAGGAUCAUCCUGAUCGUGAAUUAAUUGACCCAUUUCCAGUACCUCUGGUCAUAAUUGGAAGUAAAUAUGAUAUUUUUCAGGAUUUUGAGUCUGAGAAGAGAAAGGUAAUAUGCAAGACACUUCGAUUUGUUGCACAUUAUUAUGGAGCAUCAUUAAUGUUUACCAGUAAAUCAGAAGCUCUAUUACUAAAAAUACGUGGAGUUAUCAACCAGUUGGCAUUUGGCAUUGACAAAAG